rnacentral:rRNA from 1 species
AGAACGAACGCUGGCGGCAGGCUUAACACAUGCAAGUCGAGCGCCUCGCAAGAGGAGCGGCAGACGGGUGAGUAACGCGUGGGAACGUGCCCAAAGGUACGGAACAACUCCGGGAAACUGGAGCUGAUACCGUAUGUGCCCGAAAGGGGAAAGAUUUAUCGCCUUUGGAUCGGCCCGCGUCUGAUUAGCUAGUUGGUAGGGUAACGGCCUACCAAGGCGACGAUCAGUAGCUGGUCUGAGAGGAUGACCAGCCACACUGGGACUGAGACACGGCCCAGACUCCUACGGGAGGCAGCAGUGGGGAAUAUUGGACAAUGGGCGCAAGCCUGAUCCAGCCAUGCCGCGUGAGUGAUGAAGGCCUUAGGGUUGUAAAGCUCUUUCGCCAGGGACGAUAAUGACGGUACCUGGAUAAGAAGCCCGGCUAACUUCGUGCCAGCAGCCGC